AGACCGAUAGCGAACAAGUAGAGUGAUCGAAAGAUGAAAAGCACUUUGGAAAGAGAGUUAAAAAGCACGUGAAAUUGUUGAAAGGGAAGCGCCCGCAACCAGACUUUGCGGCGGUGUUCGGCCGGUCUUCUGACCGGUUUACUCGCCGCCGUGAGGCCAUCAUCGUCUGGGACCGCCGGAUAAGACUCGAGGAAUGUGGCUCCCCUCGGGGAGUGUUAUAGCCUCGGGUGAUGCGGCGCGUCUCGGGCGAGGUCCGCGCUUCGGCAAGGAUGAUGGCGUAAUGGUUGUCGGCGGCCCGUCUUGAAACACGGACCAAG
rnacentral:rRNA from 1 species